GCUAGUAAUCGCGAAUCAGCAUGUCGCGGUGAAUACGUUCCCGGGCCUUGUACACACCGCCCGUCACACCAUGGGAGUUGGAAGCGCCCGAAGCCUGUGACCCAACCUGCAAGGGAGGGAGCAGUCGGAGGAGAAGCCAGCGACUGGGGUGAAGUCGUAACAAGGUAAC
rnacentral:rRNA from 1 species